UCUUUGGAAAAAUCAGAAAAUGAAGAUGCAUUUUAAAAGAGAAAGUCAGUAUCAGCCAUUAUCCAACCACCAAGAAAUAACCCUUGUUAAAAUGCUGGUGAAUAUUCUCUCUCUUUUUUUAAGGGCUGGGGUCUCACGAUACUUCUAUGGCUGUUCUCCAACUCCUGGGCUCAAGCAAUCUUCCUGCCUUGGCUUCCUGAAGUGUGGGAUUACAGGUGUGAGCCACCAUGCCUGGCCAGAUGAGAAAGCUUCUGAGAAGUAAAAUGCUGGGCCACGGAGCUAACAUGUUUAAUAUUUUGGUAUGUAUUACCAAACUGCUCUCUGUGAAGUGCUAAGAAUCUCACUUCUGUCCACUGCAGUGUUUUUACCUGAUAUAU
rnacentral:lncRNA from 1 species